rnacentral:rRNA from 1 species
GUGACCUGCGGAGGAUCAUUACCGAAUUGUCAACACGAGUUGUUGCUGGUCCUCAAAACGGGGGCACGUGCACGCUCUGUUCACACAUCCACUCACACCUGUGCACCCUCUGUAGUUCCAUGGUGUGGGGGACUCUGUCCUCCUGUUGUGGUCCUACGUCUUUACACACACUCUGUAACAAAGUCUCAUGGAAUGCAUGACGCGUUUAACGCAAUACAAUACAACUUUCAGCAACGGAUCUCUUGGCUCUCGCAUCGAUGAAGAACGCAGCGAAAUGCGAUAAGUAAUGUGAAUUGCAGAAUUCAGUGAAUCAUCGAAUCUUUGAACGCACCUUGCGCCCUUUGGCUAUUCCGAAGGGCAUGCCUGUUUGAGUAUCGUGAACACCUCAACUCUCAUGGUUUGCCAUGAUGAGCUUGGACUUUGGGGGUUUUGCUGGCCUUUGGUCGGCUCCUCUCAAACGGAUCAGCUUUCCAGUGUUUGGUGGCGUCAUGGGUGUGAUAACUAUCUACGCCUGUGGUUUUCUGCCAGAUAACCUUCAGCGAUGGAGGUUCGCUGGGGCUCAUAAAUGUCUCUCUUCAGUGGAGACAGCUUUUUGGACGUUUGAUCUCAAAUCAGGUAGGACUACCCGCUGAACUUAA